UCAGGGAAUAGUUUAUUAUAAAAUGUUAGUUUUGGGGAUUAAAGAGAAAACAGUUGUUUUUUUCCUGAU
rnacentral:tRNA from 1 species